GACGAACGCUGGCGGCGUGCUUAACACAUGCAAGUCGAACGGAAAGGCCUCAGCUUGCUGGGGUACUCGAGUGGCGAACGGGUGAGUAACACGUGGGUGAUCUGCCUUGCACUUCGGGAUAAGCUUGGGAAACUGGGUCUAAUACCGGAUAGGACAGCUGUUUAGUGUCAGUUGUGGAAAGUUUUUUCGGUGCAAGAUGAGCUCGCGGCCUAUCAGCUUGUUGGUGGGGUAAUGGCCUACCAAGGCGUCGACGGGUAGCCGGCCUGAGAGGGUGGACGGCCACAUUGGGACUGAGAUACGGCCCAGACUCCUACGGGAGGCAGCAGUGGGGAAUAUUGCACAAUGGGCGGAAGCCUGAUGCAGCGACGCCGCGUGGGG
rnacentral:rRNA from 1 species